CCACGGGAGGCAGCAGUGAGGGAUAUUGGUCAAUGGGGGAAACCCUGAACCAGCAACGCCGCGUGAGGGAAGACGGUUUUCGGAUUGUAAACCUCUGUCCUCUGUGAAGAUAAUGACGGUAGCAGAGGAGGAAGCUCCGGCUAACUCCGUGCCAGCAGCCGCGGUAAUACGGAGGAUGCGAGCGUUAUCCGGAUUUAUUGGGUUUAAAGGGUGCGUAGGCGGGCUUUUAAGUCAGCGGUAAAAAUUCGGGGCUCAACCCCGUCCGGCCGUUGAAACUGGGGGCCUUGAGUGGGCGAGAAGAAGGG
rnacentral:rRNA from 1 species